AGAGUUUGAUUCUGGCUCAGGAUGAACGCUAGCGGCAGGCUUAACACAUGCAAGUCGAGGGGCAGCGGGGAGGAAGCUUGCUUUCUCCGCCGGCGACCGGCGCACGGGUGAGUAACACGUAUGCAACCUGCCCCUGUCAGGGGGACAACCCGCCGAAAGGCGGGCUAAACCCGCGUACAUGCCACCGGGGCAUCCCGGAGGCAGGAAAGGCUUCGGCCGGACAGGGAUGGGCAUGCGGCGCAUUAGGCAGUAGGCGGGGUAACGGCCCACCUAACCGACGAUGCGUAGGGGUUCUGAGAGGAAGGUCCCCCACACUGGUACUGAGACACGGACCAGACUCCUACGGGAGGCAGCAGUGAGGAAUAUUGGUCAAUGGUCGGGAGACUGAACCAGCCAAGCCGCGUGAGGGAGGAAGGUACAGAGUAUCGUAAACCUCUUUUGUCAGGGAACAAAGGCGGGGACGUGUCCCCGGAUGAGUGUACCUGAAGAAAAAGCAUCGGCUAACUCCGUGCCAGCAGCCGCGGUAAUACGGAAGAUGCGAGCGUUAUCCGGAUUUAUU
rnacentral:rRNA from 1 species